UGGCGGCUCCGUUCACUCGGAUCGUCCGGCACGUUCCUGCCGGUGAAAGGUGUGCCACAA
rfam:Frankia sp. Cc1.17 contig_135, whole genome shotgun sequence.